AAGGGGGAAAAAAAAAAACAUUUUUCACAUAUUUUGUACAUACAACAUAAAGCAAUUAGGAAAUGAAUAAAAGAAGAACAAGGAAAAAACAUCAUCAUAUUGCAAAAUAUAUAACUACUACAUUGCCUCUUGUAUUUGAAUGAUUUUGAACGAGUUUGUCCCGCAUAAAAAGCAGAAAUUUCUUAGAGUACAACUCAACUCAACUCAA
rnacentral:misc_RNA from 1 species